UCACAACGCGGAUGCGCCGUCCCACAGCUUAGAUGGUUUCCUUCCUGCUUUCCCUUGUUAGGGUUCUUGUGGAAAUGGGAAGCUGAAUCCUGCGCUUUAGCUGGUAUUGGUACAGCAGGUCUCUUUCAAUUGCAGGGUGCCAUGCCAGAAUUUGCGAGCUUUGGACUCAAUCGCGUAAACCCCCAAUCUCUCAGGCGAGGCGAUUCAGGAUUCAUGGCGGGUGACUCAGAUUCAUCUCCAUCUCCUAGCAAACUCCUCAAACCCUAAACCCUAGCCCUACCCGCGUCUUCCACGUCUUUCUCCAAAGGCAAUGACAAGUUCCAAGAACCCAAAGAUGAUCCUGUAGAAGAAGAAGAAGAAGAGGAAGGAGGUGGGGAGGAAUUGAUGGAUUCAGAUCCGAGCUGAUGCGGGGUUUGUUUAUCGGGAGAAGGGAAGACCAUCAGAGGGUGGAUCGACAGCUGUGACCACCACCUCUGCUUCGCCUGCAUCAUGGAGUGGGCCACGGUUGAGUCUCGCUGCCCCAUGUGCAAGCGGCGCUUCUCCUCCAUUCGCAGGCCGCCCAAGGAGGGUGUGUUUGCUUGUGAACGGAUUGUCGAUGUUCCUGCUCGGGAUCAGGUGACCCGCUCCCUUCACCGGGUCAAUGGCUGGGCUGGGUUUAAUGACAUUGGCUGGUAGUGAUGGAUCCCUCAAAAUGUGUGCCAACUCAGACAAUCCAUUUUAUCAAACACCGUCAAGAUAUCUUGAAGAAAACCAAAAUUUUGUAGCUUCGACCUUUCUUGCAAUUCUGGAAGUUGCAGAAGAAGAGAUGAAAAACUCCGCAUGGACGUCCCAGUGCGGUUGGGUGUGUGCACCACCAGCAAGUGUCCUCCAGGAAUGGCCUUGGGGAUGCUGAUGAUCAAGGGUUGGUGAAUCUGUUGGUGGUGAUGAUGUCAAGAAAUUUUGGCUGGUGUGCGGGAGCUCUUCGUUCAUCAGAUGACAACUAAACUUUGGUGAAGGCCUUUCAGGGGUCUCUGUCUCCAGUGGUGGCGGAGAUAUUACAAGAAUACUCUAGCAAUGUGGUGUUCGAAAGUGAGGGGCAGUGACUGUAAUUUUGUCUAAAAUUUGCAGGAUGAUGAACAGUGACAUGAUAUGUUUGUGAGUGCCUGGUAUGGCUUUGCAACUAUAAGUUUCACUCUGAUUGUGGUUUGAGUUUGGGAUUGGGAUGAAUCUUCAAUGGAGAUUGCGCUGGGUGAAUGAUUGCAAUUUUCUCUAAUGCCAAAUGAUGCCAUAACAGCUGUAAGGGUGUUGGCCAGAGGGAAAAUAGGGAGAGAAAUAGAAAGAGGAGGAUGGAAGAAGAAGAGGGAGGGAAGAAGAAGAAGAUGGAAGUUGGGUGGAAUGGGGGCUCAUGUUUAACCUCCACUUGAAAUUCACAUAUGAAAUUGCUCCCCAUGUGGUUGUCAAGACAGACUCAAAGUUCAAUUGCAGGUGCAUAAUUUCCGUGAUUUGGAAGAUGAACACCUUAUCAUGGUAUUUGCAUACUCUUUUUAAUGGUUCUUGCACUACAAACUGAAUGUAUACUAAAAGGACUAUAUUAAGACAGUCUACAAUAUGAAUUAUUUAUUUCUA